rnacentral:sRNA from 1 species
UAACUCGUGUAAUUAUUAUUCAUCAAAUAUAUAUUAGGAAGA